ensembl:lncRNA
GCACAACCCAGAACCCUGUGACAUUUAAGGGUUGGGGGGGGCAGAAGUUGGGGCUGAGACCAGGAUUGUAGCCAUUGGGAAGAGGAAGGAUAUCCCAGGAAAAUAUGUUUGAGGAUUAGUUGGCAACUGGAGGAGGUCAGCCCUGGUCAGGGAGAAAGUGAACUCAAGAUGAGUCUGCAAUUACUGAUUUGAACUCAGGUCUUCCUGACUCCAGGCCAACUGACCAGAGACUUAAGAAAACCUGACCCACAAGAUAACAUUGAUCUCAUAAGUGAAUCCCAGAAAGGAGGAGAAUUCUCUACCUGCUUCACAGAGCUCCAGAAGCGCUUCCUCAGCCAUCGCUGCAGCAAGCUCAAAAAUCUGAUCCAAUUGGUGAAACACUGGUAUUUCUAAUACCAUCUUCUUGGUUGCCCAAGUGCAAGGAGAAAAUGGACUCACUCCCUCCUCAGUAUGCUCUGGAGCUCCUGAUUGUCUAUGCCUGGGAGCAUGGAAGCCAGGAAACUAAUUUUCCCAUAGCUUGGGCCUUCCACACAGUCCUGUACCUGAUCCAGAAGUACCCAGAGCUCAUGAUCUACUGGACCAUCAAUUAUGCCAUUCAUAAUGAAAUCAUCGCAGAUUACACAGGCCAGUGAUCCUGGACCCAGCUGACCCAACCGGUGAUGUAGGUGGUCGAAGUCGAUGGCACUGGGACAACCUGGCACAAGGAGUUCACCCAUGGUCAUCUGCCCCAUGCUUUCAAAACUGGGAUGGGACCUGGGUGCAGCCAUGGAAUGUGCUGGUGAGUGAGAGCUUUUUCUGUGUGUGUGUGUGUGUGUGUGUGUGUGUGUGUGUGUGUGUGUGAGAGAGAGAGAGAGAGAGAGAGAGAGAGAGAGAGAGAGAGAGAUACUCCCAGGAAGGCCCCCUAUGCACUCAGACAGCCUUUGCCUCUGCACAGCACCCCUCCUGCUCCUCCACCCCCAGACUCAUGGUCAUCUGAAGUUGGAAUCUGGAAGUCUACUCCUGAUCUGACCUGAAUGUUCCAGCUGUGCCCUGACCAUCACAGGCUUCCCUAAGACUGGCACUUCCCAUGGUCUUUGGGAUUUGGAAGAGUUCAAAGGUGUCCUCCUUGAUUCCACAUCUGUUACUCUAAACUAGAGCCCAGCACAGUUACACCCCCUCUCACAUCCCUUUUUAGUCCACCCCAAGGAAGACCAUUUCUGACAGAAUUUGAGCAGUGGAGUCCUGAGAACUAGUGCAGAAGAAAGACACACACACUCACCGAGUGUUUUUCCCCCCAGAACUGAACAGUGUACUCCCACUGGGUACAACUCUCACAGUGGGCCCUGGGGUGGUCACUUCCCAGGACCUCUUAGUGACUUUGGCUUCAUUAGAAAAUUCUAUAGCCUUUUAUUUUCACAGUCACAUUUCUGGGUCCUGUUGAGCUUUUACUAUCCUCAUUUGAUAGACAUAGCAACUGAGCCCCAGGGAAGGUCAAUGUCUUGAGUAAGUCAGUGGGAAAAGUGGGACUAGAAUUCAGGUGUCUCUACUCCCAGCCUGGGCAUCUCUCCACCUGACUUCCCCAGCUCAUUGCUGGAACCCAGAGGAACAAGUACCCAGGGAGUCCCUUUCACCCUCCAGCUGCUUCCUUAUCAA